rnacentral:other from 2 species
CAUUGAACGGACGCAAUCGUUGCUAGGAUGGUAACGACAAGGAUGGGAAAUGGACACCUCUGGACGAGGCAAGGACUGAACAUCAGGAUGAUGGCAGGGACACCGCUCAGGGAACAAGUGAUGUGAACUCGCUAGGAUUGUGAGUUGUAAUGGAAGACACAGGACACCGCUAGGAUGGCGAUGCAAGGAUUGAGCUGACGGAUUGCAGCGUACUAUCAAGGAUUAGAUGCAGGGAGCACCUUUUAGUAGCUGGAAUGCUGCGAGUAAGACUCUAACCCCGGUGGGCUUGCCCCCGGGGUUUUCUUUUUUC